rnacentral:rRNA from 1 species
CGAGACGACGCUGGCGGCGUGCCUAAUACAUGCAAGUCGAACGGUCUUUUCUAUGGAAGCUUGCUUCCACUGAGAAGAUAGUGGCGAACGGGUGAGUAACACGUGGGUAACCUGCCCAUAAGAGGGGGAUAACAUCCGGAAACGGGUGCUAAUACCGCAUAGUUUUCUUGAUCGCAUGAUUGAGAAAGGAAAGACGGCCUUUGUGCUGUCGCUUAUGGAUGGACCCGCGGCGUAUUAGUUAGUUGGUGAGGUAAUGGCUCACCAAGACGAUGAUACGUAGCCGACCUGAGAGGGUGAUCGGCCACAUUGGGACUGAGACACGGCCCAAACUCCUACGGGAGGCAGCAGUAGGGAAUCUUCCGCAAUGGACGAAAGUCUGACGGAGCAACGCCGCGUGAGUGAAAGAAGGUUUUCGGAUCGUAAAACUCUGUUGUCAGAGAAGAACAAGUUGGAGAGUAACUGCUCCAGCCUUGACGGUAUCUGACCAGAAAGCCACGGCUAACUACGUGCCAGCCGCCGC